rnacentral:rRNA from 1 species
GAACGAACGCUGGCGGCAUGCCUAACACAUGCAAGUCGAACGAAGCCUUCGGGCUUAGUGGCGCACGGGUGCGUAACGCGUGGGAAUCUGCCCUUGGGUUCGGAAUAACAGUUAGAAAUGACUGCUAAUACCGGAUGAUGUCUUCGGACCAAAGAUUUAUCGCCCAAGGAUGAGCCCGCGUAGGAUUAGGUAGUUGGUGGGGUAAAGGCCUACCAAGCCGACGAUCCUUAGCUGGUCUGAGAGGAUGAUCAGCCACACUGGGACUGAGACACGGCCCAGACUCCUACGGGAGGCAGCAGUGGGGAAUAUUGGACAAUGGGGGCAACCCUGAUCCAGCAAUGCCGCGUGAGCGAUGAAGGCCUUAGGGUCGUAAAGCUCUUUUACCAGGGAUGAUAAUGACAGUACCUGGAGAAUAAGCUCCGGCUAACUCCGUG